UUCGAUAAGGGCAAACCCUGGGCGAUCAGGGGACGCAAAGUAAAAGGGUCUUAAACUUACAGGGAAGUAAGGAAAGAAAAGAUAGCCUUACUGCCGAAG
rnacentral:ncRNA from 1 species